UCAGCGCUUUUGAUAAAAGUGUAAGAAGUUAAUAGAUUUUCCUUUUUUUCAGGGAAAGAGCUUUGCUUUGAUGAGGUUUUGUCUUUGCUAAAUUCAUCGUGGAUGGAAUACUACCUUUAUCACAGCUCUGGACAUGCUGCUUAGACCACCCUUUAGAAUGUGUCACAAUGACCACCGUCAGCUUUCAGUAAAGACAACAGAUGAGGACCAAUGAUUUAUGGCCAGUACCACUCUGAUCUGUGUGUAGUUACAGACUGUCUCCAUUUCAGACUCCCUUGCUGUCAACCAGCUUGCAUUAGAGAUCGUUCACUAUGAUUGAGUGACUAUAUGUGAGGUUGCAACAUUACUAACCCAAAGUAAAGAACCAAUGGAGAAGGAAAACCCCAAAUCAGAUGUACUAAAAAGAUCUUACAUUUUUGAUUAAUUUACAAUAUAAUUGGAGGCCUUAUGAUGGAGCCCCAGUCAACUUCUCACUGAAAAGUGAGGAUUUGGGAGCAGAAAGCAUUUCACUUGAUCAUUACCAAUGCCCAGGUAUGAGAACUGACAGAUAUCAGAAGGAAAAAGGGAAGAAAUGUGAUGCCAGCUGAAGGAAGGAAAAAAACCUAGGAGGAAUUUAAUGCCACAAAAAAUAAGUCACGUGGAAAAUACUGGGCCGCCACACAUGCUCUGUGACCUGUUCUUUUUUUUUUUAACUUACUGAAAUUUUAUUUAUUUAUUUAUUUAGGUUAUAUGUCUCUUUUUCUAUUAAUUUUUAUUAGAGUAUAGUUACUUUACAAUGUCGUGUUAGCCUCCACUGCAUAACAAAAUGAAUCAGCCAUACACAUACAGAUAUCCCCGCCCUUUUGAACUUCCCUCCUAUUUAAGUUACCACAGUACCUUCAGCAGAGUUCCCUGUGCUAUACAGUAUGUUCCCAUCAAUUGUCUAUUUUAUACAUAGUAUCAAUAAUGUAUGUGUAGCAAUCCCAGUCUCCCUGUUCCUCCCACCCAAACCCUUUCCCCCUUGGUAUCCAUACCUUUGUUCUCUAUGUCUAUGUCCCGUUCUUGCACUUAUAUUAUUCUUUAAUACUUUAGACCUUCAGGGCAAGAAAUGAAGGUGAAGGUGAGGGUCAACAACUUUUUCAGGUGAUCAACUUUACGGUUGAGUUCAAGUGCCAAGAGACAGUGGACAUCCCUGACUCAGUCAUACAGAUAGAUGCCCCUUUAAGGGCAAUUUGCAAAGGGUUGAACCUGACACUCUGAAUUUUCUUGGAGUGAUAGUAACUUAGUAAAAGUUCAUCUGGAGAUUUUAGAGUGAAACCUACAACGGCUGAUCUUCAAGAUACAAGCUAUAGCAGGGGUCUCCCAACCUCCCACACACCCCGCGGGCCACACAGCAGGAGAUAAACCUCUGAUGCUGGGGAGGACUCUUUAUGAAAGAAUUGAUGCAGGGGACACGUGGCUGUCAGCUCACUCGGGCAUCCAGUUACCAAGAUGCAGCUGAUUACCUACCCAAGAAGGCUAAUUACAUGCUCUUCUUAUCACCUUCUAUCUCAGCUGUGAUUCUUCCAGAUAAUAGAGAUUCCUAGCAGGGGUGGGGCUAAGUCAGAAGAUCUGCUGGGACUCCUGUAGCUUAGACGGGGCAGGAGGAAGAAGCCAGGGCCUGAUGUGCCAGGUGGGGAAACACAGCUGAACAAUAAGAAAGAGGUUUUUAUGGCUCUAAUUUAGUCUUUGUUUUGCUUUUGCAUUUUGUAAUUCCUUGCCUUUUUGCAUGUUGUAUUUUUUUUUUUUCCAGUUCCACAAGCUCCUGUCACGUCUCUUCUUUCAUCACAACCUCUUCUGUUCUUGUGGUUCCCUGAUCCUGUUUCCUGGAGGUCAUGCCCUCCAUGUCUUUUUGAAGACAUCAGGCUAAUGUCCUCUAAAAUUUUCUUUGUUCUUCUUUUCUUCCUUCUUCCCUCCCUUCCUCUUUUGUUGUUUUGUUGUAUACUUUUCUACAUUUUUAGGGAACAUUACCUUUUCCAUAUGCUUCAACAUAUUUUAUGAAUCACCUUGUGUUUUUCAUUUGUUUGUUUGUUUCCACAUAUUUUAAUAGGAAAAGAUUUUUCUAGGCAAACAGCUAAUAUGCUUGGCCCUAGAGGAUACUAAAGAGAUUCAAAGAAGAAUAAGAAUGGUACCUACCACCUGGGCCCAUCAUCUCAAUAUGUGUCAAGACAUCCUAACAAAAUGGAAUAUUAAACCUCACUUCAAAGGGACUCCUCGAGUAUUCUGGGGAUGUAAAGGAGGGAGCAAGUAAUACUGCUUAGAAGCAUCAGGCAAGCUUUGAAAAGAAGGGUAAAUUUGACCCAGAUGUUGAAGAAUGGGUCAUAAUUCACUCAGCAGAGUAGAGGAUGAAAGAGUAUAUGCAAAGUUAUGGAGAUGAAGACAGCUUGAGAGUGAGUAGUUUGGGAUCUUUAUUGUGUGGGGUGAUGUCUGAGGGCAGGAGAUGAUGGCAGAGGGGUAGGCAAAGGCCAUCAUGAAGGGACUCAUGCAUGGGCCAUGCUGAUGACUGUAGCUAUAACGUUGAGGGCAAAAAAGAGCAACCCUCGGGAGUAUGUGAAGAGUUGUGCAUUUUAUAAAGCUCUCUGGGGGGCAUGAUGGCAGUGUAGAGAAUGUAUCCAAGAGGCUGCCACCGGAGAAGGGGUGAUUUCCCACAUUCCUGAGGGCCUCCUAUAGCUGCAAGUGUCCCUGGGCAAGAAGCUACCAAUUAUUGUGAAAAUACACUUUAAUGGUCCUUCAUUCAAAAGAAUCCAAUUAACCAUUUUUCUUCCUUCUAUGUAAAUGUAAAUAUUUCUAUCAUAUGAAGCAUUUAAGACAGCCCUGGAUUGCUUUUCCAGUUAAAAACAUAUUUUAUAUGCCUGUACCUUGUUUAUAGGCUGCCUUUGCCUUUGAAUAAUCUGAAAACCUCCUCAGUGGUUAAAGCGGUGAGAAGCAUUUCAUUUCACCUUAAAGCACUUUCAUACCAAUUUCACCUCUGCGUCUCCCAUGUCCUGUUCUCUGCACUUUGGGGACGUUAACAUGCAGGUCAGUGUUUGUCUGUCACCUGUGCUCUGCCUGCUGGGACCUGGGGAAGUGUGUAAACCUGCCAGUUCCCGUCCCAGGAACUCAUAUUCUUAGCCCCAUUGUGGCAUCUGCCAGACUGUGUUUGUUCACUGGGACUUUUGGCAGUUCCAGCUGCUUGUGAAAAUAAGAUCAUUUGUGUUAGACAAAGAAGUGCUGCCAAAAUGUGGAGCUUUGUGCUGUGUCAGGUGGCGGCAGGUGCUCUGCAUGGAGCGGCAGCCAUGUCAUUAGCAGUUACCUUAUGGCAAUUUUGUUAUGUGGGUAAAUCCUUUCUGCAAAAGCCCCUCUUUGCAUAGGAGCAGAGAUGCCCAGAGAGUGAAAUUCUCUGGCUGUGUUCCAUGAUCCCUCCGGGAGUCUCUUAGUUGAGAUUGGAUGAUGCCUUUCCUGUAGAUGAUCUUUAUUCCACAGGAUGCUUAAAGUCAGCAGGAAGGGAAGCUUCUCCUUGAAACACAGAAAUCAGUGGGUGAGGAAUAAUCAUUGGGGCAAAAGGUGUCCCAGAAAUGUCUUUCUCUGAAAAAGCGUGUGGGGAAUUUUACUGCAUUGUUGCAAUUCCUAUUAGUUGUUGAGUGGACCUGUUUGGACCUUUAUGGUCUAUAUUAGUCUGCUAGGGCUGUCAUCACAAAAUACCACAGACCGGGUGGCUUAAACAACAGAAAUCUAUUUUCUUGAAGUUCUGGAGCCUGGGUGUCCAAGAUCAAGGUGCUGUUGGUUGGUUGGUGGUGAAACCUCUCUUCCCACCUCUCACUGUGUCCUCACUUAGCUUUCCCCCCGUGCACGUGCAGAGAGAGAGGGAGCUCCCUGUUGUCUGUCUCUUCCUCUUCUUUUAAGAACAACAGUACUAUGGGAUUAGGGCCCCACCCUUAUGACCUCAUUUAACCUUAAUUAUCUCUCCAAAGGCCAGUCACACUGGGGGCUAGGGCUUCGAUGUAUGAAUUGGGAUGGGUGGGUAGGGUCACCAAUUCAGUUUAUACCAUGGCCUGACUAGAAAAAUGAACACAGAGCCUGGAGGUUGUGAAGGCCAGGCACUGGCAGCUUGAGCUUGGACCUUAGGACCAGUUGGAUUCCUGGGCAUUCUGCUGUAGCAAACCCAAGGGCAGACUCUACCACCUCCUCAAAAGGUUUCCCUAGGGGAGGGUGCCCUGUUGGUCCUCGGCAGGGCCAAAGGAAAGGUUGCAUAGGAUAGAGAUGGGUCUUGUCAAAACAGAAAGAGAUGGUUUUGUUAAAAUCUUGUGGAUACCAGGGCAAUCUAAGACUAGUUUUGAGUUUAGGGUCCUAAGGGAAAUAUAAAAGGAGACAGGCAUUCUCUUGCUUUAUACUUGGACUGUAAGAUGGUUUUGGUGAAAUGGGGAAAAUAUGGUGCUGUCUUACUCGUGAUAGCAGAGGUGGCAUUAGCAAGCCUCAUCCAAGAUGUCAGAACACAGUUGGAGAGAAGGUCCAUACCAUAUGUUAGUAACCAACAGGGCCUUAAUGUAUGUGAUAUUCCAAGGAGUUCCCUACAAUAAACAGAUUCUGGGGAAGCUUGGCAGUAGGUUGUCAAGUCCUAUAAUAGCAAGCGGGGAAUAAAGAUCAUAAAAGAAUAAUAAUUACUGUGAAUUUGACCCUGCUUUGAACUCCAGCCUUUA